ACGUGACCCGAUGCCAUUGUGAGCGAAAAGACCCAGAUAUAUCUAUUGUAUAUAGAGAGUGUAAAUACUGUAUAGUAUGACUACCAUACUGAGCACGAGUCGUGCCAGCAACCGGCAAAUUAAAGACAAAAAUGUCAAACCUGCCAAAGACACAACACAGUCCAGAUCAGAGGGACCACCUGAAAAGGCCAAGGCCACUCCAGAACAACUUCGCCUAGCACAGCUUACAUCUGUUAACUCGAAAGAGGAUGCUGAAUUUGAAAAGAAAGUCGUCCAGGUUAUGGAAAUAACUGGACGUGACAAAAAUGUAUGCGAAAUUGCUUUACAAGACUGCAAAAAUGACACAGAUAGAGCUGUUAAUAUGCUUCUAGAAAAUGACUUUGAAGAGGGAAUGGGUGAAUGGAGGGAGACCACAAAGAAGAAGAAAAGACAAACACCCUCCAAUUCCACUAAUUCCAAAUCAGAUUCCAAUAAUCACAUAGAGGAGGAAUCUCCCAAACCAGAACAGACCAUAGACACAGAAAAGCCUGAUAGGCGAGAACGACCAGAGAGCAGCUGCAGAUCUGCCAGGAACAGGAUACGGCAAAUCUCACACCCAGAUGCUUAAUUUGGGUGAUCGAGUUACAAAAUCCUUUCCUCCCAGACACCAACGAACGCAUGAUGCAUUUGACAAGCAAGGCUUUGCUGCAGGUACCCCUCCUCCUUUCAGUUUGCCUCUAGCAGCUGGAACCCAAGCUGGUCCCAUGGGAGCCCCAACAAACCCAUAUGGCACCCCAGGUCCAUUUAUUCCUGUGAUGCCUCACUCCCAGAUUCACCAUCCCACACUUCAUCAGGACUCCAGUCCAGGAACCAGCCGAGGGAGCCAAGCUCAGAACACAUCCCAGUCUAAAGCAAACGCUGCCAAGACCUACAACGUAGGGAGCUACUGGGGCAGCAGCUAGACACUCGGUCACAGACCCACAGAAUCAAACUAACAAAAAAAUAGUAAAAUGGUGUUUCUUCUGGAGUUUUUGAUGUAAUCUCAUUCUUUUAAGAUUUGUAGUCUCGUUCACUGGUGUGAAAUCAUGCUAUCACAGAAAAUGGGUUUAAAAUCAAUGUCGCUCACAAUGGCAUAGGUGAAAGGCAUUAUACAGAAUUUUUUUGUGAAGGGAAGACAGUUUAUCAAAUAUGUAAUCUGGGUUGAAUUGGUAUGAAUUGAUUUCUAGACAGAGAUUGUACAUAGUUCUUUUUUUCACCUUGUAUCCAUUUUGUAUUGGUCAAAGCUGUACAUCCAGUAGUUGCAUUGCUGUGUAUUAGCCUGUUUUUUCAGCAGUUUGGGGAAAGCACCAACUUCACCAAGUUUACUAUUAUAUGGACAAGUUGUAUUAAAAUGGCAGUAGAGGUACAUGUAUUUUUAUAAAGCGUUCAUGUAAAUCCAUGGUAUUUAUUGUGGCUUGAUGCUCGUUUUCAGUGAAUGAAUUGGGAGAUUGUGCCUUAAUUGACAGCACAAAUAAGUACAAUUGGUGCACGCCAUCACAUGCUACAUUUCCUCAGUAUUUCCAAGUUUAAAAAGAACUUCUUUUUUUUUCGUGCCACAUUUUGUCUAGAUCAAAGAAAACCACGUUUUAUGUGGGUAUGUUUCCAUGUCAUUUUAAAACACCUCACCCCCCAAAUAUUGCUUACAUGUUAUUAGUUGUAUCAUUAUAUUGUACAUAGCUCAUUAAUGUGAUGACGGGCAAAGUCCUGAAAAAUUCUUUUCUUCUUUUUUUUUUGUCUUUUUUUUUUUUAUUUUGAAUCAAUUGUUUGAAAAAUUGGUUGUAUUGAAUGUUUUCUAAAAACCAGAUCGCUGUGCAAGAGAUCUUGCUAACAAAUUAACAAACAUCACCACUUGUUUGGUGUUGAUAACAAGUAUCAGCUUUUUUUAUGUGCAAGAGUGUAUCUAUAAUUAUACAUGUUCUUAGACAUGUGUAAAGACUUUUAAUAUUUUCUCACAUGUAAAUCCUUGUAAAUAACAUUAUUGUACAUAUUUCAUUCAGUAUAGUACCUUAUUUUGCUUUUUUUUUUUUAAUUAUUAUUAAUGGAGACUUGCGUAACGUAAAUUUCUAUUGUGCUCAUAAUAAAUUGAUGAAAUAAUGUG
rnacentral:misc_RNA from 1 species